UUACAAAUUGAAUGCACCUGCACAAUAGCUGAAACCUUUUAUAAAUCACACAUUGAUCUAAAUGGGAGACUUGGGAGUACAUGUCAGGACCUAUCAUCUCAAAUUAGGAUUAGAGAGGAUCUCUACAUGUAUCAGAUUCUAGUUGAAUCUGUAAGACUGCUGUCAGACCUGACAGUAGCAGCAUAGUAGAUCAUCCAGUCUUUGUGUUCCCACCCAGGAGCCGGUACAUUGCCUUCCUGAGAGGGGCGCUCCAGCACCCCCUGUUGUCGAGAUCUUCUCCCUCCUGGUUGACUAGUUCUUUGAGAACAGUCCAAGGCUGUUAAGUUCUAUAUGCAUGACAUCUGUGUGUCCAAACAGGACAAGAUAAACUGCAACGAACUGAAGAGCGAUGGUCCCAUGUGGAAGCACUCCAUGGCUGUGUUCAACUGCUUUAAGAGGGUCCUGGAGAUGGACAGCACCAACCUGGCUCUGUGGAUCGAGUACAGCACCAUGUCCUACGCCGUGUACUCCUUCACCUCGCGCCAACUCAAACAGUGGAGGACUGAGCUUCCCUCCGAGGUCAUCAAACCGGUGCAGUGGACAACCAGUAUGGAGGAGAGAGACCAUGCUGGAGACGUGUUUCCAGGGGACGUCUCGGAAGUCAGGGGACGUCUAGGAAGUCAGAGGCCGCACAUUAUCUGCACAAGGGAGCUGCCAGAUACACUACCACAAUUCCCCUGACUUGUCUAUGGAGGCCCUGGAGCUGUACUUCCAUCUGAGUGCCACUCUCCUCAAGCUGCUGGAGUCUGAGGAACCAGACCUGGAGCAUGAUCUUCUUCAACAUCCUGGCUGAGGUGGCCACUGGACCCUUUGCCAGGGGGGGAAGAGAAGAGAAGGGCAGGCCCAGGUCCAACGAAAAGGAGAAGCCCCUCUCCAUGAUGGACGAGGACUCCCACUGCUGUGUGUCAUCUGUGUGUGAUGGAUGUUCAUGGGGCCUCCCUCCCCUCCAACGCUGCAGGUCUGACGUCCCCACCUUACAUGGCCACUCUGGUCGACCACGAUUACACCAAACGUAACACCCUCCGGCAGCAGCAGACCAAACGAAACACCCUCCGGCAGCAGCAGACCAAACGAAACACCCUCCGGCAGCAGCAGACCAAACGUAACACCCUCCGGCAGCACCAGACCAAACAUAACACCCUCCGGCAGCAGCAGACCAAACGUAACACCCUCCGGCAGCAGCAGACCAAACGUAACACCCUCCGGCAGCAGCAGACCAAACGUAACACCCUCCGGCAGCAGCAGACCAAACGUAACACCCUCCGGCAGCAGCAGACCAAACGUAACACCCUCCGGCAGCAGCAGACCAAACGUAACACCCUCCGGCAGCAGCAGACGAGGAAACGGUAUGAGGAGGAGCUGAUGGUACAGUCCCAGUCCUAGACUCUGGUUCUCUGGGGUUGGGCCCAUUCUUCACCGAGCUGGGGAGUAGUGUUUGUUAUGAGGAUAAUCACUAUGAUGAUAAUGGCUCUGGUUCCAGUGAUGACUCAAUUAGCACUGGGUGAUUGGGAUGUCUUGGGGAAUUGGGCAAUAUGGUAUCUCAGGUUAUUUGGAUAUUAUUUUACUGCUCUAUAAAAAUGCAAUGGCAUUUAGUUUAGGCAAACAGAGGUGUGAAGGUAGAGUUUGGCAGAGGGCGUCCUGGCCUGUGUGUGUUAAUAUGUAGAAGUUUGUGCUGGUCACCCUCUUUUCCUUUCUUUCCCAUUUCCCUUGCCUUUUGAUGACGUUGUUUUCGAAUGUAACUUCAGCAGAGCUUGUAUCCAUGUGUAACCAGUGUGAAAUGAUUAGCUAGUUAGCAGUGCGCGCUAGUGGCAUUUCAAUCGGUAAUGUCAUUUGCUCUGAGACCUUGAAGUAAUUGUUUCCCUUGCUCUGCAAGGGCUGUGGAGCGAUAGGUAACAAUGCUUAGAUGUUGACUGUUGUUGCUGUGUGCGGGGGGCCCCUGGUUCAAGCCCAGGUUGGGGUGAGGAGAGUGACUGUUCUCAUCACCUCUUAUGAAGCCAUUUAGAUUGAGAAUAGAUCUUCUUGGCUUUUGAUUUGAUUAAGUUUUGAUUUUAGCUUCUAAUUUUAAAGACCAAUGCAGUCAACUUGAUUUUCCUGUUUUUUAUAUAUAUAUA